GUGUUGUAUGAAAGGAGAGAAGGUUAGCACUCCCCUUGAUAAGGACGGAAUUCACCCUCGGGUGACAACACACAAAUGGUUAAGGCACUGCCACUUACUUUGUGGCAUCUAACCACGUUUUUAC
rfam:Strongylocentrotus purpuratus Contig56593_fixed, whole genome shotgun sequence.